rnacentral:pre_miRNA from 1 species
UAUUAAAAAAACUCGUCCAUUUUUACAGUUAAAAACUAACGUGGUUGAGAAAAUAACUAAACAGAUAUGCCACGUGUACUUCAUGCUAAUGUACAGGGACCAAUAUUUGAGAAUAGAAGUUGAUGAAAUUUUUAAUA